UACGGAGGGUGCAAGCGUUAUCCGGAUUCACUGGGUUUAAAGGGUGCGUAGGCGGGUUGGUAAGUCAGUGGUGAAAUCUUCAAGCUUAACUUGGAAACUGCCGUUGAUACUAUCAAUCUUGAAUAUUGUGGAGGUAAGCGGAAUAUGUCAUGUAGCGGUGAAAUGCUUAGAUAUGACGUAGAACACCGAUAGCGAAGGCAGCUUGCUACACAAUAAUUGACGCUGAGGCGCGACAGCGUGGGGAGCAAACAGG
rnacentral:rRNA from 1 species